AGAGUAGAGUGGCGCACGGGUGAGUAACGCGUAAGUAAUCUACCCUGAUAUUCGGGAUAACACAUCGAAAGGUGUGCUAAUACCGAAUACGCUGAUUUAUCAGGAAAGGUGGCCUCUUCAUGAAAGCUACUGUAUCAGGAGGAGCUUGCGUACCAUUAGCUUGUUGGUGGGGUAAUGGCCUACCAAGGCAACGAUGGUUAGCGGGUCUGAGAGGAUGAUCCGCCACACUGGAACUGAAACACGGACCAGACUCCUACGGGAGGCAGCAGUGAGGAAUAUUGCGCAAUGGGGGAAACCCUGACGCAGCGACGCCGCGUGGAUGAUGAAGGCUUUCGGGUCGUAAAAUCCUGUCAGAUGGAAAGAAAUGCUAUAUGCCUAAUAUGUGUAUAGUUUGACGGUACCAUCAAAGGAAGCACCGGCUAACUCCGUGCCAGCAGCCGCGGUAAUACGGAGGGUGCAAGCGUUGUUCGGAAUUACUGGGCGU
rnacentral:rRNA from 1 species